rnacentral:rRNA from 1 species
UGAAUACGAGACGCUAAGGCGUCGAAGUAGUGUAUGUCAUACUUCCAAGAAAAGCUUGCACUGUCAUAGAUAAAAAACGCCUGUACCAUAACCGACACAGGUGGGUAGGUAGAGUAUACUAAGGGGCGCGAGAUAACUCUCUCUAAGGAACUCGGCAAAAUGACUCCGUAACUUCGGGAGAAGGAGUGCCUUAUUCUUAAGGUUGCAAUAACAAGAUCCAAGCAACUGUUUAUCAAAAACACAGGUCUCCGCUAAGUCGUAAGACGAUGUAUGGGGGCUGACGCCUGCCCAGUGCCAGAAGGUUAAAGAAGUUGGUUAGCAUUUGCGAAGCUGAUAACUGAAGCCCUGGUGAACGGCGGCCGUAACAAUAACGGUCCUAAGGUAGCGAAAUUCCUUGUCGGGUAAGUUCCGACCCGCACGAAAGGCGUAAUGAUUUGGAUACUGUCUCGGAGAGGGGCUCGGUGAAAUAGACUUGUCUGUGAAGAUGCGGACUACCUGCACCAGGACAGAAAGACCCUAUGAAGCUUUACUGUAACUUGAAAUUGAAAUUGGACUUUAUUCGCGCAGUAUAGGUAGGAGGCGUUGAUUAUAAUCUUGCGGGAUUAUUGGAGCCAUCAGUGAGAUACCACCCUUUGUAAUGUUAGAUUUCUAACUUUGAAUCAUUAUCUGCCCAAAGAACAGUUUCAGGCGGGCAGUUUGACUGGGGCGGUCGCCUCCUAAACGGUAACGGAGGCGUACAAAGGUUUCCUCUGAACGGUUAGAAAUCGUAUCUAGAGUGUAAAGGCAUAAGGAAGCUUGACUGUGAGACCUACAAGUCGAGCAGGGACGAAAGUCGGUCUUAGUGAUCUGACGGUACUGAGUGGAAAGGCCGUCACUCAACGGAUAAAAGUUACUCUAAGGAUAACAGGCUGAUCUCCCCCAAGAGUUCACAUCGACGGGGAGGUUUGGCACCUCGAUGUCGGCUCAUCGCAUCCUGGGGCGGUAGUACGUCCCAAGGGUUGGGCUGUUCGCCCAUGAAAGCGGUACGCGAGCUGGGUUCAGAACGUCGUGAGACAGUUCGGUCCAUAUCCGGUGUAGGCGUUAGAAUAUUGAGAGGAGCCUUCUUUAGUACGAGAGGACCGAGAAGGACAUACCUCUGGUGUACCAGUUAUCGUGCCAACGGUAAACGCUGGGUAGCUAUGUAUGGAGUGGAUAACCGCUGAAAGCAUCUAAGUGGGAAGC